CAGUCCAUUAAUCAAACACAUCACGCCAGAUCCCCUUCUUCUUCCCCACGCACGAGGGCGCCGCCGCCGCCGCCGCCACCUUCCUUGCAGAGUCUGCGACCAAAGGAGGAGGACCUUGAGGCCUUCUACCGCCGCUUCCUCAGAGAAAUGAGCGAAACAUUAAGCUUGUUGCAGGGAUUAACGACUACUCAAUACUCUAUUCAACGGCUACUGAGGCGGCGAAUCUUUUCAGAUUAUCCGACCAGCCGAGGCCUGGCGUAGCGCUGCCUUAAAAAAACACAUUUUAUAAGAAAAUAGUAAUUUUAGAUGUGUUCAGUUUUUUCAGUUUUUCCUAUUUCUACAAGCCAGCGGGGGCGCGCAUGUUCUUCCACUUGGGUUGGUAUCUCCCUCCUCCUAUCCAUUAGCUCCCUCCAUUGUUGUACCUUGGUUCAUGAUGCCGCACCGUAUGUCUGUAUCUUUUGAACUGAGCAGCGUCGGAACAAUCUCUGUCAGGCAUCGGAUCCUCUGAACUUGUAAGCAAUCCAUGUACAGCUGCUCAUUUCGUGUUAUUGUUUUACAUGA